AUCAGAAGACCAGAAGACGAAAUAUGCUGUAUUUUCCCCCCGGAAUAUCAAGAAGAAAAGUACCAUCAACAAUUAUUCAGUUUACCUAUAGCGAAGGAGGUCGCAAACAGUCUAACCAAGGUAGGCCAAUGUAGAAAUAUUAAACUCACAAUAGAUGACGAGACAGCAACAUUGUAUAUCAAUACGGAUUCAAGCUUCGCAUUCCGAGACAUUGUCUUAGAGGAACCAGAAAUAACUCGCACAAGAAAAGCAAAGACGGAAAUUGACAUGGUAAAACUUCUAGAGACUCUCAGAAAAUGAGAUAAGAGGGAAAUAGAGGAAAUAAACUUCAAUAUAGAACAAUUUGAAGGAACUCGAAGAGCCACAGACUGGAUAUCGGAGCAUGAAGAGGAAUGCAAAAGAUACAAAAUAAAAGGUUCGUUCAUAGAAUAUGCAAUAGAGAAAGGACGACUAAUAUUGGAGGUAAAAGAAGUAAAAAGAAGAAUGCCUGAAGAUGUGAGGGUGCACCUGAUUGUCAUUGGAUUACCUAUCGAAAUCCAAGAUAAAAUCGAAAGAGAAAGUAUACAGUCAACAAAUAACCUAAUGGGAAUUUUGGGACAAUAUGAAGAUUGGAGAAACUGAUUUCAUAAAAAUUAUCCGUGCAGAUCGAUACCCAGUAAUGACAUCCAAAGAAAUUCGAGUAUGCGAGAAAGAAGAAAAUUAAAUUAAUUUUCACCUCGACUGACUGUCCAUCCUCCAAUGGACUAAACGAGAGGGUAAAUCAGACAUUAGUAAACAGGAUCAGAUGUAAGAUCAAUUCGAAAAAAAAAGAGAAACUGGACAAAAAUCGCAGAAGAAAGCGUAGAAGAGUACAAUAACACCAGACACAGUGUAAUGGGAUUUGCCCCAAAUCAUUUACUGUAUGGAAAAAUGAUUGAAAUCCUCCCUAAGGGAAUAAUGGAGAAUAUGAAGAAUACUUGUCGAGUGCCACCACAGUGAUAUAGUCUUCACCCACAACGGAAACAAAGUGAAUAGAAAUAAGCUGGAAGAAAUUAGGAAAGGACCUCUCAAAAUUCUAAGAAGGAUUUCAAACUUCAUAUAUGAAGUGGAUAACGGUAAUCGGAGAUCUGAUGGGAAUUUCUUCCACUCAAGUAAGCUGAUCCCUUAUAGAGAAGAUAAUUAACGAUGUAAUUAUCAACACGAGGAGGGGAGAUGUAAACACCCUAAAGUUCAUGUAGGAUAGAGAUUCUUUCUGUUUUAGGGGUAGCACGACAGGCUGUGUUUCACGGAUAGAACGAUCUUCCUUUGUUUUACGGACGGGCAUUUGAAGAAGCACGUUCUUCCCAAACGAAUGGACAGAGAGUUACAUUAGAGACAGAUAAGGUUUCAGAAUAGUUAUUUAAGAUUUUAAAGACUGAAGAUUUAAGAUUUAAAGA
rnacentral:misc_RNA from 1 species